AGUGAACGCUGGCGGUAGGCCUAACACAUGCAAGUCGAACGGCAGCACAGUAAGAGCUUGCUCUUACGGGUGGCGAGUGGCGGACGGGUGAGGAAUACAUCGGAAUCUACUUUUUCGUGGGGGAUAACGUAGGGAAACUUACGCUAAUACCGCAUACGACCUACGGGUGAAAGCAGGUGAUCUUCGGACCUUGCGCGUUUGAAUGAGCCGAUGUCGGAUUAGCUAGUUGGCGGGGUAAAGGCCCACCAAGUCGACGAUCCGUAGCUGGUCUGAGAGGAUGAUCAGCCACACUGGAACUGAGACACGGUCCAGACUCCUACGGGAGGCAGCAGUGGGGAAUAUUGGACAAUGGGCGCAAGCCUGAUCCAGCAAUACCGCGUGGGUGAAGAAGGCCUUAGGGUUGUAAAGCCCUUUUGUUGGGAAAGAAAAGCAGCAGGUUAAUACCCCGCUGUUCUGACGGUACCAAAAGAAUAAGCACCGGCUAACUUCGUG
rnacentral:rRNA from 1 species